UCUCCGUAGGUGAACCUGCGGAGGGAUCAUUACUGAGCGAGGGUCUCCCGGCCCGACCUCCAACCCUUUGUGAACCAAACUUGUUGCUUCGGGGGCGACCCUGCCGCUUCGGCGGUGCGGCGCCCCCGGAGGCCAUUAAACACUGCAUCAUUGCGUCGGAGUUUAAACAAAUUAAACAAAACUUUCAACAACGGAUCUCUUGGUUCGGGCAUCGAUGAAGAACGCAGC
rnacentral:misc_RNA from 1 species